rnacentral:piRNA from 1 species
UGUGAAUGACAAGAGGAGCCAGAAGGGUGU